rnacentral:rRNA from 1 species
UACGGGGGGGCAAGCGUUGUUCGGAAUUACUGGGCGUAAAGGGCUCGUAGGUGGCCAACUAAGUCAGACGUGAAAUCCCUCGGCUUAACCGGGGAACUGCGUCUGAUACUGGAUGGCUUGAGUUCGGGAGAGGGAUGCGGAAUUCCAGGUGUAGCGGUGAAAUGCGCAGAUAUCAGGAGGAACACCGGUGGCGAAGGCGGGUCUCUGGGCCGAUACUGACGCUGAGGAGCGAAAGCGUGGGGAGCGAACAGG